rnacentral:rRNA from 1 species
AACACAUGCAAGUCGAGCGGAAACGAUGGUAGCUUGCUACCAGGCGUCGAGCGGCGGACGGGUGAGUAACGCGUAGGAAUCUGCCUAGUAGAGGGGGACAACAUGUGGAAACGCAUGCUAAUACCGCAUACGCCCUGAGGGGGAAAGGAGGGGACUCUUCGGAGCCUUCCGCUAUUGGAUGAGCCUGCGUGAGAUUAGCCAGUUGGUAGGGUAAAGGCCUACCAAGGCGACGAUCACUAACUGGUCUGAGAGGAUGACCAGUCACACUGGGACUGAGACACGGCCCAGACUCCUACGGGAGGCAGCAGUGGGGAAUAUUGGACAAUGGGGGAAACCCUGAUCCAGCCAUGCCGCGUGUGUGAAGAAGGCCUUUUGGUUGUAAAGCACUUUAAGCAGUGAAGAAGACUCCGUGGUUAAUACCCACGGACGAUGACAUUAGCUGCAGAAUAAGCACCGGCUAACUCUGUGCCAGCAGCCGCGGUAAUACAGAGGGUGCAAGCGUUAAUCGGAAUUACUGGGCGUAAAGGGAGCGUAGGUGGCUCGAUAAGUCAGAUGUGAAAUCCCCGGGCUCAACCUGGGAACUGCAUCUGAUACUGUUGAGCUAGAGUAUGUGAGAGGAAGGUAGAAUUCCAGGUGUAGCGGUGAAAUGCGUAGAGAUCUGGAGGAAUACCGAUGGCGAAGGCAGCCUUCUGGCAUAAUACUGACACUGAGGCUCGAAAGCGUGGGUAGCAAACAGGAUUAGAUACCCUGGUAGUCCACGCCGUAAACGAUGUCUACUAGUCGUUGGGUCCCUUGAGGACUUAGUGACGCAGCUAACGCAAUAAGUAGACCGCCUGGGGAGUACGGCUGCAAGGUUAAAACUCAAAUGAAUUGACGGAGGCCCGCACAAGCGGUGGAGCAUGUGGUUUAAUUCGAUGCAACGCGAAGAACCUUACCUGGUCUUGACAUAUCUAGAAUCCUGCAGAGAUGCGGGAGUGCCUUCGGGAAUUAGAAUACAGGUGCUGCAUGGCUGUCGUCAGCUCGUGUCGUGAGAUGUUGGGUUAAGUCCCGCAACGAGCGCAACCCUUGUCCUUAGUUACCAGCGGGUUAAGCCGGGAACUCUAAGGAUACUGCCAGUGACAAACUGGAGGAAGGCGGGGACGACGUCAAGUCAUCAUGGCCCUUACGACCAGGGCUACACACGUGCUACAAUGGUAGGUACAGAGGGCAGCUACACAGCGAUGUGAUGCGAAUCUCAAAAAGCCUAUCGUAGUCCAGAUUGGAGUCUGCAACUCGACUCCAUGAAGUAGGAAUCGCUAGUAAUCGCGGAUCAGAAUGCCGCGGUGAAUACGUUCCCGGGCCUUGUACACACCGCCCGUCACACCAUGGGAGUUGAUUGCACCAGAAGUGGAUAGCUUAACUUCGGGGAGGC